rnacentral:rRNA from 1 species
GAGUUUGAUCUUGGCUCAGAUUGAACGCUGGCGGCAUGCCUUACACAUGCAAGUCGAACGGCAGCACGGGAGCUUGCUCCUGGUGGCGAGUGGCGAACGGGUGAGUAAUGCAUCGGAACGUAUCCUGGAGUGGGGGAUAACGUAGCGAAAGUUACGCUAAUACCGCAUAUUCUGUGAGCAGGAAAGCGGGGGACCUUCGGGCCUCGCGCUCUUGGAGCGGCCGAUGUCGGAUUAGCUAGUUGGUGAGGUAAAGGCUCACCAAGGCGACGAUCCGUAGCAGGUCUGAGAGGAUGAUCUGCCACACUGGAACUGAGACACGGUCCAGACUCCUACGGGAGCAGCA